rnacentral:rRNA from 1 species
AGCUCCAAUAGCGUAUAUUAAAGUUGUUGCAGUUAAAAAGCUCGUAGUUGGAUUUGUGGCUGUCAUUUGGUGGCAUGACACUUUGUGUUAUUGCUUGCCAAUGUCGCCAUCCUUGGGUGGAAUCUGUGUGGCAUUAGGUUGUCGUGCAGGGGAUGCCCAUCGUUUACUGUGAAAAAAUUAGAGUGUUCAAAGCAGGCUUAUGCCGUUGAAUAUAUUAGCAUGGAAUAAUAAGAUAGGACCUUGGUACUAUUUUGUUGGUUUGCGCACCAAGGUAAUGAUUAAUAGGGACAGUUGGGGGUAUUUGUAUUCCAUUGUCAGAGGUGAAAUUCUUGGAUUUUUGGAAGACAAACUACUGCGAAAGCAUUUACCAAGGAUGUUUUCAUUAAUCAAGAACGAAAGU